rnacentral:rRNA from 1 species
UACGUAGGGUGCAAGCGUUGUCCGGAAUUAUUGGGCGUAAAGAGCUCGUAGGCGGUCUGUCGCGUCGGCUGUGAAAACUCGGGGCUCAACCCCGAGCCUGCAGUCGAUACGGGCAGACUAGAGUGCGGUAGGGGAGACUGGAAUUCCUGGUGUAGCGGUGAAAUGCGCAGAUAUCAGGAGGAACACCGGUGGCGGAAGGCGGGUCUCUGGGCCGAUACUGACGUGAGGAGCGACAGCGUGGGGAUCAAACAGG